rnacentral:tRNA from 1 species
GCCUGGCUGGCUUAGGCAGUAGAGCAUCAAACUUUUAAUCUCAGGGUCAUGAGUUUGAACCCCAUGUUGGGUG